rnacentral:rRNA from 1 species
UACGAAGGGGCUAGCGUUGCUCGGAAUCACUGGGCGUAAAGCGCACGUAGGCGGAUCGUUAAGUCGGGGGUGAAAUCCUGGAGCUCAACUCCAGAACUGCCUUCGAUACUGGCGAUCUUCGAGUCCGGGAGAGGUGAGUGGAACUCCGAGUGUAGAGGUGAAAUUCGUAGAUAUUCGGGAAGAACACCAGUGGCGAAGGCGGCUCACUGGCCCGGUACUGACGCUGAGGUGCGAAAGCGUGGGGAGCAAACAGG